ACGAACGCUGGCGGCGUGCUUAACACAUGCAAGUCGAGCGGAAAGGCCACUUCGGUGGUACUCGAGCGGCGAACGGGUGAGUAACACGUGAGUAAUCUGCCCUCCACUUUGGGAUAGCCACCGGAAACGGUGAUUAAUACCGGAUAUGACCAGUGCUCGCAUGGGUGUUGGUGGAAAGUUUUUCGGUGGGGGAUGUGCUCGCGGCCUAUCAGCUUGAUGGUGGGGUAAUGGCCUACCAUGGCUUCGACGGGUAGCCGGCCUGAGAGGGUGACCGGCCACACUGGGACUGAGACACGGCCCAGACUCCUACGGGAGGCAGCAGUGGGGAAUAUUGGACAAUGGGCGGAAGCCUGAUCCAGCAACGCCGCGUGAGGGAUGACGGCCUUCGGGUUGUAAACCUCUUUCGGUGGGGACGAAGCGAAAGUGACGGUACCCACUAAAGAAGCACCGGCCAACUACGU
rnacentral:rRNA from 1 species